UAAGUAAUCCCUCCGUCUGGAAAUACUUGUCGAAGAAAUGGAUAAAAAUGGAUGUAUCAAGAACUACUUCCAUUUUUCCGACAAGUAUUUCCGGACGGAGGGAGUACUAG
rfam:Triticum aestivum genome assembly, contig: Triticum_aestivum_CS42_TGACv1_scaffold_063861_1DL